UGCCAGCGCCGCGGUAAUACGGAGGGAGCUAGCGUUGUUCGGAAUUACUGGGCGUAAAGAGCGUGUAGGCUGUUAGGUAAGUCAGAGGUGAAAUCCCUAAGCUCAACUUAGGAACUGCCUUUGAUACUAUCUUACUAGAGAUCGAGAGAAGUUAGCGGAAUUCCAAGUGUAGAGGUGAAAUUCGUAGAUAUUUGGAAGAACACCAGUGGCGAAAGCGGCUAACUGGCUCGAUACUGACGCUGAGGUACGAAAGUGUGGGGAGCAAACAGGAUUAGAUA
rnacentral:rRNA from 1 species